CCUACGGGUGGCAGCAGUGGGGGAUAUUGCACAAUGGGGGAAACCCUGAUGCAGCGACGCCGCGUGGGCGAAGAAGUAUUUCGGUAUGUAAAGCCCUAUCAGCAGGGAAGAAGACAUGACUGUACCUGAAGACGAAGCCCCGGCUAACUACGUGCCAGCAGCCGCGGUAAUACGUAGGGGGCAAGCGUUAUCCGGAUUUACUGGGUGUAAAGGGGGCGCAGACGGCGAUGCAAGCCAGGAGUGAAAGCCCGGGGCCCAACCCCGGGACUGCUCUUGGAACUGCGUGGCUGGAGUGCAGGAGGGGAAGGCGGAAUUCCUGGUGUAGCGGUGAAAUGCGUAGAUAUCAGGAGGAACACCGGUGGCGAAGGCGGCCUGCUGGACUGCAACUGACGUUGAGGCCCGAAAGCGUGGGGAGCAAACAGGAUUAGAUACCCGUGUAGUC
rnacentral:rRNA from 1 species